rnacentral:rRNA from 1 species
GUUGAACGCUGGCGGCAGGCUUAACACAUGCAAGUCGAGCGGAGAUGAGGUGCUUGCACCUUAUCUUAGCGGCGGACGGGUGAGUAAUGCUUAGGAAUCUGCCUAUUAGUGGGGGACAACAUUCCGAAAGGAAUGCUAAUACCGCAUACGUCCUACGGGAGAAAGCAGGGGAUCUUCGGACCUUGCGCUAAUAGAUGAGCCUAAGUCGGAUUAGCUAGUUGGUGGGGUAAAGGCCUACCAAGGCGACGAUCUGUAGCGGGUCUGAGAGGAUGAUCCGCCACACGGGGACUGGGACACGGCCCAGACUCCUACGGGAGGCAGCAGUGGGGAAUAUUGGACAAUGGGGGGAACCCUGAUCCAGCCAUGCCGCGUGUGUGAAGAAGGCCUUAUAGUUGUAAAGCACUUUAAGCGAGGAGGAGGCUCUUUUGGUUAAUACCCAAGAUGAGUGGACGUUACUCGCAGAAUAAGCACCGGCUAACUCUGUGCCAGCCGCCGCAGUAA